AAUUCUCAACCAUGUCUCGAUUGAUUUCGAGCGCAUGGCUUGGAUGUGGGGGCUGCUGGCGGCGCGAGCCGUCGGCUCUCCUGAAAUGCAUUAGCAAAGUCGAGUCUUUUCGUGCACGGCCUUUCGACGUGAUAAUGAUCGUCGUGGCUGGAGCGAGAGGCGUGAAUCGUCGUUGCUUCCAAUACUGCUGAUCCUCGCGGAUCGCGCUUUCUUAA
rnacentral:misc_RNA from 1 species